CUGAAUUCCUGUUGGACAACAUCUUCAGGAUGCUUUGACUAGGACACCUCCAAUGUGAAGCAGUGGACAGCUAAAGAUGUUGCUGGCUGUUAUUGCUAGACAUUAUUUAAAUUUGAUUGUUUGCAUUAAAAUGUAUAUUACAUUAUUAAUCAUAUUAUGUGAAUGUAAUUGUGAUGUAUAUUGAUUAAUAAAAGUGAUUAUUUAUGAAAAA